ACAUAUUUACAGCCACACUAUGAUUUAAAUCAAUACAAUACACAUUCGUAACAUCGUCAAAAAAUAACGAAAAUCCAUAUACCCCGAUUCCGCCAAACUUCUUAUACAAACGCGGCCCAACGGUAUCUGAAAACAUUAAUAGUUCGUACGGAAGUAUAAGUGAAAUGGUAUCUCUUCUCCCGGAAUUCAACCCAUCAUCCAUCAAGUCCUUAGAUUCGCAACAAUUCAUUAGACUCCCUUCAAACCGCAUAUCGUUGGGAUGAUCGAAAUCUAAUAUUUGCAGUUCAACACAAAAAAGGGUAAUAAUCGAAGACGAUCCAAAACACGUGCAUGCAAAUCAGCUGUCAACAAUUAAGUGUACAUUCAAAAUGGCCCAGCUUGUCGGCAUAAGGGACAGACAGGAGUACCAACAAACCGCCACAAACAAAUCAAAAUUCGUGAAAAAUUAAAAAAUUCGCGAUACUUUGCGAAAUUCGGGAAAUAAUAUGUAUUUAUUCUAAAUCUACUAUUAAUUAGUUACAGGGGCGCCGAGCGUGGGCGUGGUCGCAUUUUUUUCACAAAUUAUCAAUGCUAUUACAAUAAAAUGUGUGAAGUUUAAACCAUGUAACUCAAUUUUUCGACUUUAUGCCCAAAAAUCUAAUUCUGGACCAUAGUGCAGUGGUUGUACGUACUAAAUAGGUAUUAAAUGUUUCGAUACUUCUACAUUGCAGCCCUAAUUACAAUGUAACCCUAGACAAGAGCAAGUUAUCGAUAGGAAGGGAGCGAGUGUAGAGUCGAGAGUCAAGUGGAAAAGUUGUCAAAAGCGGUUGUUACUAAAUCUAAAUUUCGUCGUCAUAAGUCUAUAGAAUUAAAUGUUAAGCUAUAUUAUUUGUUUAAUUAAACCAUAUAAGCGGAGAACUUACCCUCGUCCUUGCAGUACUUCGAUUAAAUGUUGAAUUGACCCUUGAGCAGAUCUGCUGCGUCGUUGUCGUUCUUUUGCCUAAAUUGGCAGUAUGAUUUAAGCGCAUAAUUAAUGAAAAGAAAUAACCGAAAAAGUAUUGUCGAGACCAAAAAACGUUUAGAAAACGUAUUACCUGUCAAGAUUAUUGGGAAAUAAUGACCCGGGAGAAGUUCUCUAUUGGUUUUGCGCUCCAACAAUUUUUCUUGAAGUUAAAGUUAUGCUAACGAAUCGGCCGGAUGCGGAAAUACAGACCUUGAGGUCGCCUUACUAUCCUGGACAUUGCAACAAAUGCCGCAUGCAUAUACAUUGCGCACAAGAACAAUUCAGAGAACAGGCUGGUUACAAGCCCAGAAAGGCAAGGAGACAACAGAGGGCCGAGAAAAGCCUCCCUGCUGGUUGCACAAGCAAUCGGCGACAAACGCCUUGGAAUGGCACGGUCUAUUCUCUGACUAGAGCUUCAAAUUACCGCAAGCCGAUAUUGACGACCCAGAAAAAGCAGCUAACGGCUCGAUCGCCCAUUUCAAAUCCAGGCGUCAUCGGUGCUGUCAAUCCAAUAUAAAAAUUGUCUUUAAGUAGCCUGGGAGGCGAGAAGAGGAAGUCAGCAGGAUGGUAAAACCUAAGCCACCGCUAUACGCCGCGCUGAGCCCUAGUGCCCUAAUUACAAUGUAACCCUAGACAAGAGCAAGUUAUCGAUAGGAAGGGAGCGAGUGUAGAGUCGAGAGUCAAGUGGAAAAGUUGUCAAAAGCGGUUGUUACUAAAUCUAAAUUUCGUCGUCAUAAGUCUAUAGAAUUAAAUGUUAAGCUAUAUUAUUUGUUUAAUUAAACCAUAUAAGCGGAGAACUUACCCUCGUCCUUGCAGUACUUCGAUUAAAUAAUUGACCCUUGAGCAGAUCUGCUGCGUCGUUGUCGUUCUUUUGCCUAAAUUGGCAGUAUGAUUUAAGCGCAUAAUUAAUGAAAAGAAAUAACCGAAAAAGUAUUGUCGAGACCAAAAAACGUUUAGAAAACGUAUUACCUGUCAAGAUUAUUGGGAAAUAAUGACCCGGGAGAAGUUCUCUAUUGGUUUUGCGCUCCAACAAUUUUUCUUGAAGUUAAAGUUAUGCUAACGAAUCGGUCGGAUGCGGAAAUAUAGACCUUGAGGUCGCGUUUCCACUCUUCAAUAAUGCAAUAAUGCUCGCUCAUGAUUCCAUCCUGGACAUUGCAACAAAUGCCGCAUGCUUAUACAUUGCGCACAAGAACAAUUCAGAGAACGGGGCUGCUUAAAAGCCCAGAAAGGCAAGGAGACAACAGAGGGCCGAGGAAAGCCUCCCUGCCGGUUGCACAAGCAAUCGGCGACAAACGCCUUGGAAUGGCACGGUCUAUUCUCUGACUAGAGCUUCAAAUUACCGCAAGCCGAUAUUGACGACCCAGAGAAAGCAGCUAACGGCUCGAUCGGCCAUUUCAAAUCCAGGCGUCAUCGGUGCUGUCAAUCCAAUAUAAAAAUUGUCUUUAAGUAGCCUGGGAGGCGAGAAGAGGAAGUCAGCAGGAUGGUAAAACCUAAGCCACCGCUAUACGCCGCGCUGAGCCCUAGUGGCUCGGCGAUUGUUAAAAAGUUUAAAAGUUAAAAAUUUUACUGAAUCGAAGUUGCCAGAAGCAGUAACGUAGUGUAAAGCAUCGUUCGGCGAUGAAUUCCCUACUUUCCUCAUUGACAUACAGCUCUAUCACGAUGUUGUCGCAGAACUGAGGGACUUGCCGCUCCACAUCAUUGCAGUCUAGGGUGGAGCGAUUGACCACGGCCCACUUGUCGGUGUUUAGGCCCGGGUUCUGCGACUCCUCACGUCCUCAGGAAGCCGAAGAACUCGAUUAAGGGCUGGCAGGAGUGCGGCGGGCACAUACCAUGGACGGCUGAGAUGACCCAUUGGGCGGUUUCCUCAUCCUCGCAGACCACUAGCAUGCUGGAGUCGAACGUCUGCGGAUAGAUACUCGAAAUCAGCUGUUCGCUAGCACACUUUUAAAAGCUGUCAACAAGUUUUGUUGCCACUUUUCAAGAUAUAUUAACAUCGAAAACUCGACUUUACGCCAAAAAAAUCGAUUUCUGGACCACAGUUCACUGCGAGUAUUCUUACUCGAACCAAUUCCCACACAAAUAAUGGCGUGCAAGUCGGAGCCGAGGACCAGCAGCAGCGCAGUGGAGCAACUGGUGGAGUGCAAAAAUAGGAAUAUAGGAAUUGCAGAAGGCGGGAUACUUGGCCGCCGAAUGCGAACACAAUGCCCGAGAACCGGCGAUACGGUCUGGUGAUAACAAACCAGAGUUCGGACGCGGACGUUGUGGACACCUUUGCCCUAAUUGUAAACGCCAACCGACGCCGAUGCAAUGCCGCGCUGUUCUUCUUACUUAUGACGGGGAUUUCAUCUGGCGCUGCUGUUUGCCACCAUAGGCUUCAUACCUCAACCUUAGCUAACAUUGUGCAUACAUGGUACAUACAUAAUACUGUGGGCCUUACCGAGUAUCUAUCCGCAGACGUUCGACUCCAGCAUGCUAGUGGUCUGCGAGGAUGAGGAAACCGCCCAAUGGGUCAUCUCAGCCGUCUAUGGUAUGUGCCCGCCGCACUCCUGCCAGCCCUUAAUCGAGUUCUUCGGCCUCCUGAGGACGUGAGGAGUCGCAGAACCCGGGCCUAAACACCGACAAGUGGGCCGUGGUCAAUCGCUCCACCCUAGACUGCAAUGAUGUGGAGCGGCAGGUCCCUCAGUUCUGCGACAACAUCGUGAUAGAGCUGUAUGUCAAUGAGGAAAGUUGGGAAUUCAUCGCCGAACGAUGCUUUAAACUACGUUACUGCUUCUGGCAACAUCGAUUCAGUUUUGAUUGCUAGGACGUUUUUGGGUUUUCCAAAUUAUUUGUUAAUAUUUUUUGGCUAUUUACUCGAAAUAGUAAAAUUUUAUGAAAUUAGAAAAGUAAACGUGAAUAAAAGUUAUUAAAAAAAAAAAUAUGGCGGCUUCGCGGCAACUGCA